AUUGCUUCUCGGCCUUUUGGCUAAGAUCAAGUGUAGUAUCUGUUCUUAUCAGUUUAAUAUCUGAUACAUCCUCAAUGAGAGGACUUUAUAUUAAAUGGAUUUUAAAAACAGGCUGCAAGAAUUGGGCUUGUUCAGCCUGGAGAAGAGGAGGCUCCGAGGAGACCUCAUUGCAGCUUUCCAGUACCUGAAGGGGCUACAAGGGUGCUGGGAGAGGAC
rnacentral:snRNA from 1 species